UCCAGGCGGCAUUGAAUCUAGUCUGGAGGGAUGAUGGCAGUUUGAGGCUGAAUCACCCAGGUUUAGGAGGGUUUGGAGGAUUUGGGUCCACUCUAAGGCAGGUCUAUAGGGGUAGGGUUCAUGAUCAUAUCAGAUGGUAGAUAGGACAGCACUCUGUGGAGUUAAUAGUUUUACACACACACACACACACACACACACACACACACACACACAUGCACAUGCAUGCAUGUACACAUUGACUGAUUAUUAAAGCCCAGCCAAAAAGUACCCCACGCUGAGGUAAACCAGUUUGAAGCCUCCUCAUCCUACUCCCCACUUACUGCUCUCAUGGGGCCCUCUCAGUAUCAUGAAUACAUUUUUUAAAAAUCAAGACAGAGGGUGACCUUUGCGCCAGGUAGGCCUUGUGAGCUCAUUAGAGUCUGUCUUGUCACAAAGCCCAGGUUUGCAGUGUGUGUCUCUGCCAGGCCCUCGCCUCACUCCCAUUGGUGGUACAGAAAGGGAUGUGCCAAAGUGACUUUUGAAACCUGGGAUGCAGUGCUUUCUCACCCACCCCAGCCCCCGUCUCUCUCUGAAAUUUCUAUCAUUAUGGAACCAGCAGAUGGCGUAACAACACUACAUCGUUGGACUCCCAGAAAAUCGACCUUGGUUCAGGCAUCAGACCCAGCUGCUGAAACUCACUCCGGGCGCAUGUCAACUGGGCUGGGAUUCGAUCUACGGUCAAAGUGCAAUUUGGCUUUUCUCCUCAGCAGCACACAACCACUGUGCCAUGCAGCCAGCAUUGUU